CGCUUUGCACGUAAGCGGAAGUGCAGUUCAGUUCAGCACGAGCAGAAAUGCCAUCUACACCUGUGUGCAAACACCUGAGAUGGGAAGAUCAACUUCCAUUAAGGAUAUGCAGUGCAUGUGUGGGUGAGAAAGAGGCAGAGAAAGGGAAGAGCGUUAAAGAGACGAGA